UCUCUCUCUCUCUCUCUCUCUCUCUCUCUCCCUCCCUCCCUCUUCCCUCCAUUCUUUCUUUAAGUCUGCCCCCUGCUGAGGAAGUGACACUCAGACGUAAAUACCCCGUCUCUCCCCGUCCUCCCUGCGGCUGGCUGACCUUCUUUCAGUCUCCUUUUCUCCCUCUGCUUUCCUCUCCCGUCUUCCCUGUUUCCUUUUCUCCCUCUGCUUUCCUCUCCCGUCUUCCCUGUUUCCUUUCCUCCCUCUGCUUUCCUCUCCCGUCUUCCCUGUUUCCUUUUCACCCCUCCGUCAGUCCCUCUUCUUCGCUCUGUCACUCCAUCUUCAUCUUUCUUUUUUGUUCACUCCUCUCCGCUCGUUAUCCGUUUCCCCUUCAUAAUCUAAACCCUCUCAGUUUGCACAUUCAUCCUUCUACCUUCUUACUCUCUCUCUCUCUUCCCUUCUUUUCACUCCUCCACUCAACAUUAUCAUUUAUAUGUUCCCUUUUGUUAUACCCCCCCCCCCCUUCCAGACGACCUUUAGAAGAAUUUGCAUUGGGGACGUAUUUUAGGGUUGCGCAGCCGUUAGUAAUUUUUCAUGACAUUUUUGCUUGAGUAAUGGUAAAUACUUCUCCCCAGUCAUUUCUUUGCCUUCCUCACAGAUGCCUUACAAGGCUGCAGUUAUCCUCAGAAAGUAAUAAAAGAGCUUACUUCAUAAUAAUUCUCUCUCUCUCUCCCUCCACACCUCCCUCUCUUCUCCCCCUUUUCUCUUUCUUUCAGCAACAGCUGGACCAGAGCGAGACCAAGGAACCCCGGCCCCUCGCAGUGGAGUUGAUCCUGUGAAGAGCACCUCAUGUCCUGCUCUCCUCCUUUUCUCUCUGCUCGUAGUUCUCCUGUCUGUCUGAUUUCCCUGCCCCAUCCACUCACACUUACACAAAGAAAGAGGGAGGAUUCACAAGUUGUGUGUAAAAGAAAUCUCUGCAGUUCCUGUAGUGGCACUAAUCUCUGGCUCCAUUUCCUCUCAUCUUUUCUCUUUGUCCACUGACUCUUCUCUUCUCUUCUCUCUCUCCAUUCUGCCCUCUCUUCUCUCCUCUCCUCUCCCCUUUUCUCUGACUUCAGAGUCCUCUGUAACAGACCGACUCUAAUCUGGCCUUCAAAGAACACCAGUCUUGUGUCUGACCAGUUUGUGUUUAAUCACUCCUCAAUCAUAGAUGGCUUUUCUUCCUGUCUUUGUAGUUUUCUUCCUCUCCCUCUCUCUCUCUCUCUCCUUCCCUCUUUCUGUUAAAUGUUUCCCCCUCUACCCCCCCCUCUGUUGUUGCUGUACAUAAUCACCAAACUGAGCCAAAGAGGAAAGAAGUGGACCGCGAACUCUGACCUCUCACCCUGACCUCCUCAAACACUACUGAGUCAACCAUCAGACACUGUGGCUGACUUUGUUUUUUGUUAUUGUUUUUUUUUCUACCAGCUUUUUUCCCUUCUUAGUGGACUUUGUUUAGGUUCUGGCAUUGUUUUUGAAGAGGUCUCUACAAAAUGGAAAUGACCUAAAUACUGAAGUGGAGGAACAUUUAUUCAUCCAGCUGUGUAAUUCUGACUGAGACGUGCACAAGAUGGCCUGUUUUGAGUAACACCUCUUGGACAGGAUGUCAGGAUCUCUAAACAUGGCCCACUCCGGGAGAUCUCAAGGGUCUCAUGGACUGUCCAGCAUUUAACAGGAUUCCUCUGGAGUAAAUUGGAUUUCUCUGAAAUGACCUGGAUUUAUCUGGAAUAGACUAGAUUUUUUUAGGAAUAAUCUGAAAAAUAAUCUGGAGUAACCUGAAUUUGACCUUGCUGGAAAUGACACGAUUGACCCACUGAUUGGAUUUCUAAAGAGACAAGCUGUUACUAUUCCCUUGGUUUCACCCCAGAUCAGUCCCCAGAUCAUCACAUCUUACAAACCAAAUUCCAGUACUGAAGAAUAUGAUUGGUUUAAUACUUACCCUCAUCUUUACAAUGGAUAACUGAAUAUGGUUAGAUAUUUCUGAGCACUUAUCCCUGUUUAUCCAGUCAAAUUAAUAUUUUACUUGCUGCAUUCUUUUAUUUUUAAUUGUGGUGUUUAGUUAGCUGUUCCUUCUGAGCUUUUUUACAUCCCAGAAAAGCGAUUGUGUUGUUGCCCUGUAUAAAAGAUGGUGUAAGAUGGUGAAAAAAAAGCUGACAGCGCAUUGCUGGUACUUUCCAAAUUUUGAUACGUUUUGUAUAAUAAUACUUGUUUGGUAAAAUAAUUUAAAAUAUUCAGAGAUAGAAUUUAUUUUUACACAACAGAAGGGUUUGUAGUUAUAAUCAUCUGAAACUGUUGUUAUAGCUCACAGAGUAGUGUAUGUCUUUCUAGAUAUAGCUUUGUGAAUUAUUAGUGUGUCUCCCAUAUUUUUUCAUUUUGUUUUGAUAAACAAAAAUAUGAUAGAAAAAUAUGUAAAAUUAAAUCACUUAGUUUUGACAACUAAAUUGUUGAUUAUGAUUAUAUUCUCAUUUAACAGUACAGAGCGGUUCUGUUAAUUGAAGUAAAUUAAGGUUUUGGAAUUGUGUGAUAAAAUCAAGGUUUAAAAAUAUAUAAAUGGAUUAUAUACAAUCAUAUGGUUACUAGAAACAAAACAAAAAACUUUUUUAUUUACGGCCAUGUCAUUUUCUAUUUUUUGUCUAUGUUUUGUAAAUAUUUCCCUCCUCCAGAUGCUGAAAGGGAGGUUCUGAUAUUUAUGGAAUUCUAGAAUCAGAGUGGAUUUCACUCUGGGAGCACAGUACAAUCAGUUCAUAGAGGAAUCAACUUUUUUUUAUACUGGACAAUUGUGUUUUUGUUUGUUUUUCACAUUUUAGUGAAGAAUUUAGCAUCUUCUAUGAAGAACUGCGGUCUGUGUUUAUAAGGCAAAAAGAACAAAAUAAAAGCUAUGACUUGUA